rnacentral:rRNA from 1 species
UACGUAGGUGGCAAGCGUUUGUCCGGAAUUAUUGGGCGUAAGGCGCGCGCAGGUGGUUCCUUAAGUCUGAUGUGAAAGCCCACGGCUCAACCGUGGAAGUGCAUGGGAAAACUGCUGAGCUUGAGUACUUAAGAGGAUCGCGGAAUUCCCGGUGUAGAGGUGAAAAUUCGUAGAUAUCGGGAGGAACACCAGUGGCGAAGGCGGCGAUCUGGGAAGAUACUGACGCUGAGGUGCG